GGAUUUGAUUUAUAACUUUAACAGUAUUAAAACUGAAUGUUCAAUGUUCAGUCAAGCAAACAUGAGGUCAAACAUGAGGUCAAACAUGAGGUCAAACACGAGGUCAAACAUGAGGUCAAACACGAGGUCUAAGGUCUAUAUAUAAGCCUACUUUAGGUCUAACAUGAGGCCUACUGCCUGACUACAGGUAUAAAGGUCUACUUUAGGUCUAACAUUAGGCCUACUGCCUGACUACAGGUAUAAAGGUCUAUAGUUCUACUGCCUGACUACAGGUAUAAAGGUCUUUAGUUCUACUUCCUGACUACAGGUAUAAAGGUCAAGAGUUUUACUUUCAGCCUCUUUUUAAGGUUUAAAUGUCAACUCAGUCAUCAGAAUGUGCGUUUCUUUCUUCAUAGAGUGUCUAUAGGUCUCUUAAGGUGUUGCUAUCUAAUGUGAACACCUCAAAGCUGAACAUUUUCCAUUGACGUCACGUUGGUGUGAAACCUGUUUACCUCGAUGCUAGACCCUCCUCUUCCUGUCACAACAUGGGUUUCAGAGAAAAGGACCACGAGCUGAAAACUUUCCACUCAAUUGAACCAAUCGCUGCUCGUAUGUCCUUUCAUGGUAAAGUACAUCGAGUCAUGAACACGGAAAUACGCAGCAAAGACCUUGUUACUCAAAGACCCAGCUACUCUCUGACAGUCACCAUCAGACCAUCAGACCACCAGAUGGACAGGCUGUGUGUUUCUCUGAUUGCAUUCUUAUGUGCUGUUUCCGCCAGUCAGGAUGGGAUCUCUGCAGCAGAGGUGGAGCUGAGAGUCAGACCAGGAGACAGUGGUCAAUCAAUAAUUCAAACCUUCAUUCCAAUACUCUUGAGGAAGGAGACCUGUUUUACGCCUCGUUGGAUAUCCGUCAGGGACAGAGGAGACCAAAGAAGAAGAAGAAGAGAGUCCAGAACUCUGACUUCAGUACCUACACAGCCAUCAAUACCAGCAGAGUGAGACCUAUACCAGCCAUCAAUACCAGCAGAGUGUGAGACCUAUACCAUCCAUCAAUACCAGCAGAGUGAGACCUAUACCAUCCAUCAAUACCAGCAGAGUGUGAGACCUAUACCAUCCAUCAAUACCAGCAGAGUGAG
rnacentral:lncRNA from 1 species